AUACGACCACAUCACGUUUGAAACACCGAUUCCUGUACGAUCACCGAAGUUAAGCAACAUCGAGCCUAGUAACUACCUAGAUGGGUGAUCGAUUGGGAAUACCAGGUGCUAUA